rnacentral:tRNA from 1 species
GCUUUUAUAGUUUAAUUAUUGAAUGAUAUUUUGAAAAGAUAUAGGUUUUUUUAAGCG